rnacentral:rRNA from 1 species
CUCUGAAAGAACUGCCAGUGAUAAGCUGGAGGAAGGUGGGGAUGACGUCAAGUCCUCAUGGCCCUUACGUGUUGGGCUACACACGUGCUACAAUGGCAUCUACAACAGGAAGCAAAACGGCAACGUUAAGCAAAUCCCGAAAAGAUGCCUCAGUUCGGAUUGCACUCUGCAACUCGAGUGCAUGAAGCUGGAAUUACUAGUAAUCGUGGAUCAGCGUGCCACGGUGAAUGCGUUCCCGGGUCUU